AGGUCAAGCUAAUAAGAGCAAAGGGUGGAUGCCUUGGCACUAGGAGCCGAUGAAGGACGUGAUAAGCUGCGAAAAGCUUCGGGGAGGCGCAAAUAGCCAUCGAUCCGGAGAUAUCCGAAUGGGGAAACCUGACUGGGAAAAGCCCAGUUACUACAUGGUGAAUACAUAGCCAUGUAGGGGGAACUCGGGGAACUGAAACAUCUAAGUACCCGAAGGAGGAGAAAGAAAAAUCGAUUCCCUAAGUAGCGGCGAGCGAAAAGGGAAGAGCCCAAACCUAAGAACUUAGUUCUUAGGGGUUGAGGACCGCAGAAUGUAUCUUGACGUUUAACCGAAUGGUUUUGGGAAAGCCAACCAAAGAAGGUGAAAGUCCAGUAGGUGAAAGACCGAGAGAGCAGGCGGUAUCCAGAGUAGCACGGGACACGAGAAACCCUGUGUGAAGCUGGGGGGACCACCCCCCAAGGCUAAAUACUCCCUAGUGACCGAUAGCGUAUAGUACUGUGAAGGAACGGUGAAAAGAACCCCGGGAGGGGAGUGAAAAAGAACCUGAAACCCUUUGUUUACAAGCAGUCGAAGCUCGUAUAUAAAUCAGAGCGACGGCGUACUUUUUGUAGAACGGUCCGGCGAGUUACGUAUAACUGGCAAGGUUAAAGACUAAAGGUCUGGAGCCGAAGGGAAGCCAAGUCUUAAUAGGGCGUUAAGUCAGAGUACGUAGACCCGAAACCGGGUGACCUACCCAUGGUCAGGAUGAAGUUACCGUAAAAGGUAAUGGAGGUCCGAACCCACACGUGUUGAAAAACGUGGGGAUGAACUGUGGGUAGCGGAGAAAUUCCAAUCGAACCCGGAGAUAGCUGGUUCUCCUCGAAAUAGCUUUAGGGCUAGCCUUGAUGGAGUCUAAUGGAGGUAGAGCACUGAAUUGUCUAGGGGGCCGCGAGGCUUACCAAAACAUAUCAAACUCCGAAUGCCAUAUAGAUGCUCAUCAGGAGUCAGACUGCGCGAGAUAAGUUGGGUAGUCAAAAGGGAAAGAGCCCAGACCACCAGCUAAGGUCCCAAAGUACAUGUUAAGUGGAAAAGGAUGUGAGAUUUCGAAGACAACUAGGAUGUUGGCUUAGAAGCAGCCAUACAUUCAAAGAGUGCGUAAUAGCUCACUAGUCGAGAGAUCUUGCGCCGAAAAUGUCCGGGGCUAAAACAUGACACCGAAGCUGUGGAUUGAUAGUAAUAUCAGUGGUAGAGGAGCAUUCUUAACUGGGACGAAGCUGUACUGUAAGGAGCAGUGGACUGUUAAGAAGAGAGAAUGCCGGAAUGAGUAGCGAGAGAGAAGUGAGAAUCUUCUCGGCCGAAUAUCUAAGGUUUCCAGAGUAAAGCUGAUCUUCUCUGGGUAAGUCGGGACCUAAGGCGAGGGCGAAAGCCGUAGUCGAUGGACAACAGGUUGAAAUUCCUGUACCGCAUGCAAACAGAACUGUGGGGACACAGGAGGAUAGGAAAAACGGGGAAUGGAAAAACCCGUUCAAGUACAAAGGAUAGGAAGACAGGCAAAUCCGUCAUCCGUUUCUGAAGUACGAUGAGGACCGAAAUAUAAGUAGGGAAGUUUCUGAAUCCAAACUGUCGAGAAAAGCCGCUAUUGUUUUGUAUGUGCCCGUACCGUAAACCGACACAGGUAGAUGAGGAGAGAAUCCUAAGGCCGACGGGAGAAGCGUUGUUAAGGAACUCGGCAAAAUGACUCCGUAACUUAGGGAUAAGGAGUGCCUCUUUAGAGAGGCCGCAGAGAAUAGGCCCAAGCGACUGUUUAGCAAAAACACAGGUCUCUGCAAAACCGAAAGGUGAAGUAUAGGGGCUGACGCCUGCCCGGUGCUGGAAGGUUAAGAGGAGGGGUUAGCGUAAGCGAAGCUCUGAAUUUAAGCCCCAGUAAACGGCGGCCGUAACUAUAACGGUCCUAAGGUAGCGAAAUUCCUUGUCGGGUAAGUUCCGACCCGCACGAAAGGCGUAACGAUUUGGGCACUGUCUCGACAACGCGCCCGGUGAAAUUGUAGUACCGGUGAAGAUGCCGGUUACCCGCGACAGGACGGAAAGACCCCGUGGAGCUUUACUCCAGCUUGAUACUGGGAUUCGGUAUUACAUGUACAGGAUAGGAGGGAGACGUAGAAGCAAGGACGCCAGUCUUUGUGGAGUCGCUGUUGGGAUACCUCCCUUGUAGUACUGGAUUUCUAACCUAGCACCCUAAACGGGUGUGGGGACAAUGUCAGGUGGGGAGUUUGACUGGGGCGGUCGCCUCCGAAAAGGUAUCGGAGGCGCUCAAAGGUCAUCUCAGAAUGGUUGGAAACCAUUCGCAGAGUGCAAAGGCAUAAGAUGGCUUGACUGUGACACCGACGGGUGGAGCAGGUACGAAAGUAGGACUUAGUGAUCCGGUGGUAUGAAAGUGGGAUUGCCAUCGCUCAACGGAUAAAAGCUACCCCGGGGAUAACAGGCUUAUCACUCCCAAGAGUUCACAUCGACGGAGUGGUUUGGCACCUCGAUGUCGGCUCAUCGCAUCCUGGAGCUGUAGCAGGUUCCAAGGGUUGGGCUGUUCGCCCAUUAAAGCGGUACGCGAGCUGGGUUCAGAACGUCGUGAGACAGUUCGGUCCCUAUCCGUCGUGGGCGCAGGAUAUUUGAGAGGAGCUGUCCUUAGUACGAGAGGACCGGGAUGGACGAACCGCUGGUGUAUCUGUUGUAUUACCAAGUGCAUAGCAGAGUAGCCAAGUUUGGAAGGGAUAAACGCUGAAGGCAUCUAAGCGUGAAGCCCCCCUCAAGAUAAGAUAUCCCAUACCGUAAGGUAGUAAGACCCCUUGAAGACGACAAGGUUGAUAGGUCGGAGGUGUAAGCAUGGUAACAUGUUCAGCUGACCGAUACUAAUAGGUCGAGGGCUUGACCUAG
rnacentral:rRNA from 1 species